rnacentral:rRNA from 1 species
UACGGAGGGUGCAAGCGUUGUUCGGAAUUAUUGGGCGUAAAGCGCGCGUAGGCGGGACGCUAAGUCUGGUGUGAAAUCCCUCGGCUUAACCGAGGAACUGCAUUGGAUACUGGCGACCUUGAGUCCUGGAGAGGGUGGCGGAAUUCCCAGUGUAGAGGUGAAAUUCGUAGAUAUUGGGAGGAACACCGGUGGCGAAGGCGGCCACCUGGACAGUGACUGACGCUGAGGCGAGAAAGCGUGGGUAGCAAACAGG